rnacentral:lncRNA from 1 species
CUAUUCCCCUUUCCCCCAGAGCUCCCCAGGAGUGAUGCUGAGGGAAGCUCAGCUACAUGCUAUGUAUGCGGUGGAUUUCUACCACAGUUGAGGAACCCCAAGGGUCACUAUUGAGGGUUGGCCUCAUCCUGCUACUUGGAUUCUUGUUGAUAGUCUCCUGAAUUAAAUGGUGCUUAAGACACAUUAAACGGACUUGGCUCCAUUCUCUGUUAGUCAGACCAAUUAGACUGGUCAAUGAAAUGGUGUAUCCAUGAGAAAAAUCUACCAGAAGCCAAGAUAUUCUAGAAAUAAGGGUAAAUAUUGUUGGUAGACAAUUCUCCAUGGAUCCCUACAUUUCUGCUUUUCUUGUUAGCAGGGACACUGAGAGCAUUUUUUCUGGACUAUAUUUUCAAGGAUGUUGGAACAGUAAAUGACCUUGGAAGAUAUAAAUAGUGUCUCUCUCAAGGACAGAGGGCAGGUAGCUUGUUGUCCAUGAUGAUAAGAAAAUGUCUCCCUUUGGGGCAAAGUUUGGGCAGAUUUUUUUGAAGCCCAUUUAAAAGAAAGAUUGGGAUUUCCUAAACUCAG